ensembl:lncRNA
AGCUGCCGCCGGCGUCUCGGGGGCUCCAGGCUGCGGGGCGGACGCAGCGCCUAGUGAUCCACCGCGGAGCCGCGCGAGGCCGCCCGAGCCCGAGCCCCAGCCCCAGCCCCGAGCCCCGAGCGAGCGCCGCCGCCGCCUCUCGCCAGCCGGUCCCCGGACGCGCCGCCGCCGCCACCGCCGGGAAGGCAGCCGGUGCCUAGCAAGUUGCGAGUGCGCUUCUCCGCCCGGGGAAAGUUUCCCCCGCGGCCGCCGACUGGAGUUGGCGCGGGAUCCGGCCACUGCCGCUGGAAGAGUUUAUCCUGAAGCUACCAUCAGAAAGAGACUUCAAGAGAAUCUUGACACCCCUGAAAGGAAAAGACACCAGUAGAAAGAGGUGCGCAUCUCCUGGACAGCCCCGAGCUUGCAGGGACCAGACCUUCCGACCCCAUCAUCCAAGCUACGUGAACCCUUUGAAUUUGAACUUCUAAAAACGUGGGCACAACCUUUUUCCAGACUUCUCAACGCAGGCUACCCAGGACAAGCUGGGCCAAUAACGGAAAUAUACAGGAACCCCUCUGACCAAGAGACUGUCCCGCUGACAUCAGAACUGCCCAGGGGGAGCACCAUGGAAGGCGACUGUCUGAGCUGCAUGAAGUAUCUGAUGUUUGUAUUCAAUUUCUUCAUAUUUCUGGGUGGGGCCUGCCUGCUGGGCGUCGGCAUCUGGGUCAUGGUGGAGCCCACCGGCUUCCGGGAGAUCGUGGCUGCCAACCCCCUACUCAUCACGGGCGCCUACAUCCUCUUGGCCAUGGGGGGCCUGCUUUUUCUGCUCGGCUUCCUGGGCUGCUGCGGGGCCGUCCGGGAGAACAAGUGUCUGCUGCUGUUGUUCUUCCUGUUCAUCCUGAUCAUCUUCUUGGCGGAGCUCUCGGCGGCCAUCUUGGCCUUCAUCUUCAGGGAGAACCUCACCCGCGAAUUCUUCACCAAGGAGCUCACCAAGCACUACCAGGGCAACAACGACACAGACGUCUUCUCUGCCACCUGGAACUCGGUCAUGAUCACAUUUGGUUGCUGUGGGGUCAACGGGCCUGAAGACUUUAAGUUUGCAUCAGUUUUCCGACUCCUGACUUUGGAUAGUGACGAGGUGCCGGAGGCCUGCUGCCGGAGAGAACCCCAGAGUCGGGACGGGGUCCUGCUGAGCAGGGAGGAAUGCCUCCUGGGAAGGGAUCUGUUCCUGAACAAGCAGGGCUGUUACACGGUGAUCCUCAAUGCCUUCGAAACUUACGUCUACCUGGCCGGAGCCCUCGCCAUAGGGGUGCUGGCCAUCGAGCUUUUUGCCAUGGUCUUUGCCAUGUGCCUCUUCCGGGGCAUCCAGUAGAGGGUGUGGCCUGAAGAUUGAAGACUCACCCCACCCACCACUGCCCAGCACCCAAUGCCCUCCCCUCCCCCUCGCCCCUGCCCUCUUGGCCCCGGGGGAGGAGGUGAGGCCAUGAUGGGUGGCUAGGAAAUGGGGCAGAGGAAAAUAGCUAUUUUUUUAACAAAAAAAAUGAAGGCAAAACUAUGGACUGAUGUAGCCCAUCUGGACUCCGGAACAGGCGCCAUGGGGUUCCCCGCGGGGGCCCGGGCACCUGAACCCAGGACGCAGCCUGCACUAGAGACCAAAGCAACACCAGGACCAGGCCUCCUCCUUGGUGCAGCCAGAUCAAGCAGCCCGGGACCUGCGCCCUCAACUCACAGCUUCAGGAUCUGGUGCCAAGGAAGUAAUAAGGAUUUAGGCAAGAAGGAGGCAAAAGAAAAUUGUGGAGAAAGGUUGGCAAAGCCCGCGGGCGCCGAGGAGACCUGGUCACCAUGUCCUUGAGGGCUUGGAGCCUACGUGGAGUCCCCGGUCCUCCGAGGAUGGAGUUGUCCCUGCCUCAGGCUGGGGCCAAGAGUGGGCCGCAGAUGCUGGAUCCAAGGAUGGCCCAGCCAGUAGGGUCCGUGCUUCCCCAUCUGUUGGAGCAAAUCAUCUGGAAAGCCCAGAGAGGAGCAGUUUCUCAUCCACAGUCACACAGCACAUGCGUGACAGUUCUGAACAAGAACUCCGCCAUCCCCAGGCUGCCUGUCACUCCUUCCAGGGUUCUGUUGGUCCCAGCAGACCUACUGCUCACACCCCUCCCUGGCCUCUGCAUCCUGGUUUCCCCAGAAGAGAGCGGGCAAGCUGGUCAGGAAUUGCCUCUUCCCGGCUCCACAGCUAAGAAAAUUCUGGACUCUGCCCUCCCUGGUCGCCCUGCCACCUCCCCACACUUUUCUCUAAGUCCCAGGAACACACACACAUGCACACACAACACAGCCCGUUUUCUACACUGCCCACUUUUCCUCCACCAACUCCACCAAUUCCCUGGCCCCCAGCGCUGGAAGGAACCCCCAAGAUCAUCUGGUUCUCCUCUCCUCACUCAGAACUGCCACUCAGAUGUCUUCCACAAGAUCCCUGCCAAGACUUCUCCACCUUCUUCUCGCACACCUCCAAGGACGGGGAGCUUACUACCUCCCAAGACAGGCUUCUCUUUGGACCGCUCUGACUUUAACAUCAGCUCAAUACACGGAAGAGGUUCCUGUUUUCCUGUGGUUCUGUCCAUGGCAUCCCACUUGCUCUCCUUCCCGAAGCGAUAAGGCCACACGUUGUCCCCCUGAGCCCCGUUAUUUCCAGGCUAAAGAACCCCAGGGCACCUCAUCAUUUCUGCUGUGACACGGUUUUCCUGUCCCUUCGCUGUCCAUAGCACAUUUCUGAGUGUUUCCUCCAGGAUGUGGCAGGGAGAGGUUUCCCCACAGACUCACUCACACCCACACAGCACCCACAGAUCAGCCCCUCAUGUGCAGGUCUCAAAUUCUAGACCAGUGUUAGCAACUCUAUUACAAGAUGCCUCGACCCUGAUCAAUCAGGAGUGGCUGCCAGAGGCCGUGCGGAGAAUCUGAGGCUUGGUCUGGGCUCAGUGGGGGAGGACAGUGUAAUCUUGAUUAGUGAUGUCUGCCAAAAACUCAAGCUUGUUGAGGGAUGGGUGUGGAAGGGACAGUAUGGUGCCUGCUCUCCUCUCUUCAUUGUCCCUCUUCAGGGUCUGGGAAGAGCCCAUUCUAUCUCAAAGGCCCUGUGCCAGCUUCCAGCCUCCCCUCCAGCUUUCCAGCCACUGGGAGACAGAGCAGUGGCCUAGAGCCCAGCGCUCCCCUGCUCUGCCACCUACCCCCUUCUGAGACGUGGCCGGAGCUCUGUGCCUGCUGUAAAGAUUUGGUUUGCCCCUCCCCCCAUUUCUCCCCUUCCCCCUUGCACUCACUCUGCUGCCCUCACCAGUCCUGGCCCAUUGUGGGCUGGGUCUUUCCAGAUUGUCCCUGUAUCAGUCUGCCCUGGCAACUCCAUAAAUGAUGUUAUGAACUCCCUAGCGACUGGGCAACCCCAGGACCCAGGGGGCCGUGCAGCUUGUACCCCAGCGCAGGUCUCUAGACCACCCAAAAAUUGGCUUCAACUUCCUGGCAGAGGCAAAGGGCUGGUGUGUGGUUGACA